rnacentral:rRNA from 1 species
AGGACGAACGCUGGCGGCGUGCUUAACACAUGCAAGUCGAGCGGAAAGGCCCUUCGGGGUACUCGAGCGGCGAACGGGUGAGUAACACGUGAGCAACCUGCCCCUAGCUUCGGGAUAGCUCCGGGAAACCGGAAUUAAUACCGAAUAUGGCCAUGGACGACAUCAGCCAAUGGUGGAAAGUUUUUCGGCUAGGGAUGGACUCGCGGCCUAUCAGCUAGUUGGUGAGGUAACGGCCCACCAAGGCGACGACGGGUA